CCUCUGCAGGGAGUGACCGCCUCUCACCUCUGCCCCCUGCAAAGCCCCCCAGCCACUGCUGUCUUCUACUCCUCCACCCAGGUGGGCGGGAACCCCUGGGUCUCAGGACGGCCCCUGGCCAGUCUUGUGGUGGGAGAGCAAGGCUCCCGCCGCCAAAGAGGCCCAGGGGUCAAAGCGAGGAGAGCCAAGCAGAGAGCGACAGCCAUGAGGCAGCUGUCACCCCACGUCAGGGUGCUAGGGAGUGGCAGGGACUGCGGCAGAGUGGAGAGCAUUGCCUUCCACGGCUGAAUCCACACCAGGCAGAAAGGGUGGGGACAGGAUCUGGGGGACACGCAGCAUUAGGGCUCACUGGAUCCAGGCCCAGGUGUCGGAGUGCCACGCCCCAUUCCCACCUGCGGACACAGGGUGAGCGUUUGCUCUGAGGCUGCCCGCUGCUCGUGGCUCCUGACCCUGCACUCACCUCAGGACUUGGCCCAGGUUUCCCUGCCCGCUGCGAGCCCCCACAGUAAAUCAGGGAAAUGGAACAAAACCUUCUUUGUCAAAAAUUCCUCCAAAACCAAGCCAGCCUCAAGACACCAGCAAGAUCUCCAUCCCUUCAACUCACCAUCAACUUCACAGGGUCACGAACUUUGUCUUCAUCUCCAUGGUCCCUGGCAUGUAGUAGGUGAUCAAUAAAUAUUUGCUGAUGAAAG